rnacentral:rRNA from 1 species
CCAAUAGCGUAUAUUAAAGUUGUUGCAGUUAAAAAGCUCGUAGUUGAAUUUCGGGGUUAGUAGGUUGGUCAUGCCUCUGGUAUGUACUGGUCUCACUGAUUCCUCCUUCCUGAUGAACCUUAAUGCCAUUAAUUUGGUGUUUCGGGGAAUUUGGACUGUUACUUUGAAAAAAUUAGAGUGUUUAAAGCAAGCUAACGCUUGAAUACAUUAGCAUGGAAUAAUGAAAUAGGACGUUCGAUCCUAUUUUGUUGGUUUCUAGGAUUGACGUAAUGAUUAAUAGGGAUAGUUGGGGGCAUUAGUAUUCAAUUGUCAGAGGUGAAAUUCUUGGAUUUAUUGAAGACUAACUACUGCGAAAGCAUUUGCCAAGGAUGUUUUCAUUAAUCAAGAACGAAAGUUAGGGGAUCGAAGACGAUCAGAUACCGUCGUAGUCUUAACCAUAAACUAUGCCGACUAGGGAUCGGAUGAUGUUAAUUUUUUAAUGACUCAUUCGGCGCCUUACG